AAGCCAACCGACCAAAUGAAAUGUUUGAUGGUGGAGCUGUGAGAGGUGUUUGGUCAUGUGGUGAAAAGUAUGAGUUUGUGUCUUUUAGAUUGAUUUUCAUUUUUUGGCUUGCUUUAUGUGUAUGACCCUGGACUGGUUUUAGAGAAUUGUUUGUUGUCUUGGCCCUACUGUGGAAGACUACCUGCCAUUGUGUAUGAACACUGGAGUGAUUUGGAUUGGUCCUGAACACCGAGAGAAACUCAGAUGAAAAGUCAGAGAGGACAUCAGGCUUUGUUCAUUUUGGUGAACCGUGGUAGAGUUGGAAACGAUCAAUCUACAUGCAAAUACUGCAUUACUCCUGUCUGUGGUUAAAUCAAAGCAACUGCACAUUUCAAGGCAUCUACAAAACAUCCACUGCUUGGGGCCAUACCUCCCUGAAUAUACCCGAUCGUGCCAUGUCUCCAAAGCUAAGCUGGGUCAGGCCUGGAUGGUACUGGGUGGGGUCACUGCCUGAGAAUACCAGGACGUCUGACAGCUGCGGAGCGGGUCGCCCUUCCCCGGGGUGCUGGAGGACGAGCGGCGCGCCGGGGCGGGCGCUGCCGCAGAGCCGGGCGUCUUCGUUAGCGGGUUAAUCAGCGGGGUCCCGCCCACGCGCCGUGCGCUACCGUGACGGAUCCAGCGGGCUGAACCUCGGCCGGAUCUGCCGCUGGACCGCGAGGCCGCUGGGGGACGGAUCCAGUAUCUCACCUGCUCAUUCAGGCCUUCGCUGGCUUUCAGACCAAAUCCUUUUAAAAAUGAAAAAGGUACUUUUUUUCAUCCCUGAGCCUCCCCCCCCCCCCCCCACUUCCAAACUGGGGAAAAAAAUUGGACUUGAAAUAUGCCAAAAAUUUUGGCACGGCGCUGUCUACAUUCAAAUGUCAAAGAGAUCUGGGUGAAGAGGUUCUAGUGUAAGUGGGAUGGCCCUGCAGUGGUAGAGGCCUUUUACAGGAAUUACUGGGCCUGCAGCCAGAAUGUUGCCGUUGCGAUGCUUGACUGUUACUCCACCUUAAAUGCCUUCGUAAAUCCCCACCUGUGUACCUGGAUAUUAUGAACUACAAUGGCAACUCUGAGGACCUGGUUAUGGAAGUUUCAUAUCUUGUGUGGGGCCAGGUUGUUAUGUUAUGCUCUUGAUGAGAUUAUUUGACCUGAACCACUUCCCUUCAUAUGCGUUUGUCUAAAUACCAUAUUCUGUGUAACAGCAAUUGUAGUCCACCAACCUUAGACUCCAAACUGGAAUAGCUGUCCAACUAUUUUAAACAUUAAAGUUUUAGCCCCAUUUACCAUAAGGCUCAUCUGGAGGUCUAAAUUCAAAGUUCAAUACCCCCCCACCCUCGAUAAUGUUGUCAGUUGGUCCAGGGAACUGCGACCGGGGGUGCAUUUUAAAGCUCCCUGGUGGUAUAGCUCCUGCCCCUCCCUAUUUUUUUUGCCCCCGCAGUACUUAAAUCACACCAGCACUUCAAUUAGUUAAUUGACCCCAAGUGAGUUCACUGACCCCAACAGUGAGGGCUACUCACAUAAUGAGAGAGAGAUCAACUGAGGACUUGGGAGAUGGAUAUGGAGCAAAGUACCCCCAGGUGAUCACUGCCUUCCACCUCUCCGUAUGAUUGUAUCUCUCUCCCCCCUCUGUCUCUUUCUCUCUUUCUUUCCUCCCCUGCUCCCCCCUCUUUUAUGUCUCUCUCUCAUGUGACAUUAACAUACAAUAAUACCCCAAAACAUCAAGAGCCCAAGAGUCCAAGAGUGACAUAAUCUCUUUU